rnacentral:rRNA from 1 species
GACGAACGCUGGCGGCGUGCUUAACACAUGCAAGUCGAACGGAAAGGCCCUGCUUUUGUGGGGUGCUCGAGUGGCGAACGGGUGAGUAACACGUGAGUAACCUGCCCUUGACUUUGGGAUAACUUUAGGAAACUGGGGCUAAUACCGGAUAGGAGCUCCUGCUGCAUGGUGGGGGUUGGAAAGUUUCGGCGGUUGGGGAUGGACUCGCGGCUUAUCAGCUUGUUGGUGGGGUAGUGGCUUACCAAGGCUUUGACGGGUAGCCGACCUGAGAGGGUGACCGGCCACAUUGGGACUGAGAUACGGCCCAGACUCCUACGGGAGGCAGCAGUGGGGAAUAUUGCACAAUGGGCGGAAGCCUGAUGCAGCAACGCCGCGUGCGGGAUGACGGCCUUCGGGUUGUAAACCGCUUUCGCCUGUGACGAAGCGUGAGUGACGGUAAUGGGUAAAGAAGCACCGGCUAACUACGUG